rnacentral:rRNA from 1 species
GAAUCUGCCUGGUAGUGGGGGAUAACGUUCGGAAACGGACGCUAAUACCGCAUACGUCCUACGGGAGAAAGCAGGGGACCUUCGGGCCUUGCGCUAUCAGAUGAGCCUAGGUCGGAUUAGCUAGUUGGUGGGGUAAUGGCUCACCAAGGCUACGAUCCGUAACUGGUCUGAGAGGAUGAUCAGUCACACUGGAACUGAGACACGGUCCAGACUCCUACGGGAGGCAGCAGUGGGGAAUAUUGGACAAUGGGCGAAAGCCUGAUCCAGCCAUGCCGCGUGUGUGAAGAAGGUCUUCGGAUUGUAAAGCACUUUAAGUUGGGAGGAAGGGUUGUAGAUUAAUACUCUGCAAUUUUGACGUUACCGACAGAAUAAGCACCGGCUAACUCUGUGCCAGCAGCCGCGGUAAUACAGAGGGUGCAAGCGUUAAUCGGAAUUACUGGGCGUAAAGCGCGCGUAGGUGGUUUGUUAAGUUGGAUGUGAAAUCCCCGGGCUCAAUCUGGGAACUGCAUUCAAAACUGACUGACUAGAGUAUGGUAGAGGGGUGGUGGAAAUUUCCUGUGUAGCGGUGAAAUGCGUAGAUUAUAGGAAAGGAACCACCCAGUGGCGAAAGGCCGACCACCUGGACUAAAUACUUGACACUGCGAGUGCGAAAGCGGUGGGGGAGCAAAACAGGAAUUAAUUACCCUUG